AGCGAACGCUGGCGGCAGGCCUAAUACAUGCAAGUCGAGCGGUCCCUUCGGGGGCAGCGGCGGACGGGUGAGUAACGCGUGGGAACGUGCCCUUUGGUACGGAACAACUGAGGGAAACUUCAGCUAAUACCGUAUGUGCCCUUCGGGGGAAAGAUUUAUCGCCAUUGGAGCGGCCCGCGUUGGAUUAGGUAGUUGGUGAGGUAAAGGCUCACCAAGCCUACGAUCCAUAGCUGGUCUGAGAGGAUGAUCAGCCACACUGGGACUGAGACACGGCCCAGACUCCUACGGGAGGCAGCAGUAGGGAAUCUUGCGCAAUGGGCGAAAGCCUGACGCAGCCAUGCCGCGUGAAUGAUGAAGGUCUUAGGAUUGUAAAAUUCUUUCACCGGGGACGAUAAUGACGGUACCCGGAGAAGAAGCCCCGGCUAACUUCGUGCCAGCAGCCGCGGUAAGCUCGUCUCUA
rnacentral:rRNA from 1 species